GAAUGCACCCCGAUGCUAUAGGCGUUGACGGAAAGUGUAUUCCACAAACGACAACUGAUGCAGGUCCGAUGUACGCAACAGUCGAAACAGCAGUCGUUGUAAGUUCCGCAUUAGCAUCUUCUUUUCAGGAAACGGCUGGUCACGAGCACCAACAACUACUUGACUACCUGCGCGUCUUAUUUGCGGCCGUUAACCUGAACCUUCGGAAGACUGAAACAGAUAUCCUUGACCUGGAGCUUGCAGUUACUGACAUUAUGGUGCUCAAGG